rnacentral:rRNA from 1 species
AGUGAACGCUGGCGGUAGGCCUAACACAUGCAAGUCGAACGGCAGCACAGUAAGAGCUUGCUCUUACGGGUGGCGAGUGGCGGACGGGUGAGGAAUACAUCGGAAUCUACUUUUUCGUGGGGGAUAACGUAGGGAAACUUACGCUAACACCGCAUACGACCUACGGGUGAAAGCAGGGGAUCUUCGGACCUUGCGCGAUUGAAUGAGCCGAUGUCGGAUUAGCUAGUUGGCGGGGUAAAGGCCCACCAAGGCGACGAUCCGUAGCUGGUCUGAGAGGAUGAUCGGCCACACUGGAACUGAGACACGGUCCAGACUCCUACGGGAGGCAGCAGUGGGGAAUAUUGGACAAUGGGCGCAAGCCUGAUCCAGCCAUACCGCGUGGGUGAAGAAGGCCUUCGGGUUGUAAAGCCCUUUUGUUGGGAAAGAAAAGCAGCAGGUUAAUACCCCGCUGUUCUGACGGUACCCAAAGAAUAAGCACCGGCUAACUUCGUG